GUGGGUAUAGCUCAGCAGUAGAGCAGAUGUUUAGCAUGCACGAGGUCCUGGGUUCAAUUCCCAAUACCUCCA
rnacentral:tRNA from 1 species